UACGUAGGGACCAAGCGUUGUUCGGAUUUACUGGGCGUAAAGGGCUCGUAGGCGGCCAACUAAGUCAGACGUGAAAUCCCUCGGCUUAACCGGGGAACUGCGUCUGAUACUGGAUGGCUUGAGUUUGGGAGAGGGAUGCGGAAUUCCAGGUGUAGCGGUGAAAUGCGUAGAUAUCUGGAGGAACACCGGUGGCGGAGGCGGCAUCCUGGACCAACACUGACGCUGAGGAGCGAAAGCCAGGGGAGCAAAGCGGGG
rnacentral:rRNA from 1 species